AUAAAUAAAUAGAGUUCUGAAGCAGGUUUUGAAUGGGGGGCAACUGUGCGACGUCGGAGAAGAAGAUGUUAUUCGCCGGAGAUUGAAGCUCCAUCUAUGUUCUGAGCUAAAUCGCUGGAAGAUGAGGAGGUUGAAAUGCCUGACUUCAAUGAGAAGUGGUUGCUGAUUCAGAUUCAGGUGAAGAAGAUACUGUUUCUGAAGAUGAUGAGGUACUCUCUGAAGUUUGCAUAGAAUGUUUUGUGUUGCCAUGUGUUAGUUUAUGCUUUGCUUUAUCUUGUUUGUUUCGGUCAUUGCUAAAUUAUUUCAUCUUUUAUGUUUAGAGUAAAUAGUCAAAUUAGUUUUUUCAAAGAUAUAAUGGAAAUUUUAUGCCUCAAGUUCGCAAAUGUGCGUUUGUUUAGUUAAAUCAGCCCCUCAUGAUUUGAGUACUACACUACUACUAACUAGACUGGUGGAACACAUUAGGACUCUUCAUAUUCAGUGAUGACGCUGUAAUUUCCAUUAUUUAAGGACUAAUGUUGUAUUGUAUCCGAAGGAUAUGUGCAGUGCAACCGUAAACAUAUCCUUGGAGAGAAUCAACAAAUUGAUAACUGUUGCAGGCAUCUGCAGCAAAGCUAAGCCAAGAUUUUCAUUGCAAUCAGUGACACAUAAAUAUGGGCACAUUGGCUCUUCUUUCUCUAAUAUUGAUAGUGGAAUUAGAUUUAGACGCUGAGCCUUCAGAAACCGAAGCUCUUCUGUAUGAAUUUAGUCUUCCCCUAAUGGCUGUUCUUUUUGACAACUUCCAAGAUAAGACUGAUCUGGUGGAAGAAUUUUCUCUUACAAGCUAAAGAAAUGGGAUUUUAUGGCAGUAAAGGUGGUCAAAGAACCAUUAUCUUCAAUCCAAGAGUUUGCGACAAUGUUGACCUUGAAGUGGGGAGCUUAAUCCGCAUUCACCCUCCAUGGUGCAUUGAUAGGUCCAAUUGCAUUUGCCAUUUUGGCUGUUGGAAAUUCAGCUGUUAUCAUUGGACUUUGGACUGCACAUGUUAUAUGGACAUACUAUUGUGUGGCAAGGUUGUAGUUUAUGUUCUAAUUCAAUCUCAAUCUUCAAUCGUUGGCCUUUGACAACAGAACAAAGAGCUUUUUUGCUCCUCUUCUUGCAACUUUUGAGGCUGUUGAAGAAAAUGUUGAAGACAAAUUUUAUCAUUGCUUCAUUGAUGGUUGUUGGUCAGCAAUUGAAACAAGCUGCACAGUGGUUCAAGAUGUCACAGACUUUUGCUUUUACUCCUAUUUUUCAUACAUGGAUAAACUAAGAAAAAAUUUAAUCCCUCAAGAAAAGCCAUUUGAUAUCAGUAUCCGCAUGAAAAAGAAAAAAAAGAAGGAAAAACAGCGCAGUUUUUUCAGAAGAAUAGUAGGUCCCACUUGCCAGAGACAGUUGUUAACAGUGAAGACUCCCCUGAACCUGUGGAUAGCGGAUCAUCAAGUGACAAUGAGGUGAGUUUGGCUGUGUUGAUGUAAAUAUCAUUUCAAGAUACCUGGACGGAAAGCUGAUUGUUUGUCAUUGCUCAUUUAGCAAGUAUACCGAGGUGAAGUUUUAAAAAUCAACCGAUUCAAUUUCCAUAGGUCAUUUGAUUAUUUGAUAUGCUUGUUAUUGCCCUGAAACUAUAUAUAGGCUUGGAGAAUGGAGACUUGUGAUGGUCUCUCACUCUUGUAAACUCUAGUAUUUUCUGUUAUUCCAUUUGAUUUAGGGAA